rnacentral:rRNA from 1 species
CCUACGUGAGGCAGCAGUGAGGAAUAUUUGACAAUGGGCGAGAGCCUGAACCAGCCAAGUCGCGUGAGGGAAGAAGGUCCUAUGGAUUGUAAACCUCUUUUGCCGGGGAGCAAAAAGCGGUACGUGUACCGCAACGAGAGUACCCAGACAAAAAGCAUCGGCUAAUGCCGUGCCAGCAGCCGCCGUAAUAAGGAGGAUGCGUGCGUUCUCCGGAUUUAUUGGGUUAAAGGGGUGCGCAGGCGACGAGUUAAGUUAGCGGUAAAAGUUCGGGGCUAAACCCCGCCACGCCGUUGAAACUGGCUUGCUAGAGUGGGCGAGAAGUAUGCGGAAUGCGUGGUGUAGCGGUGAAAUGCAUAGAUAUCACGCAGAACUCCGAUUGCGAAGGCAGCAUACCGGCGCCCAACUGACGCUCAGGCACGAAAGCGUGGGUAUCGAACAGGAUUAGAUACCCUAGUAGUC